CCUACCAUAACCUUUCAGUUUCCAGUGAGGCCUUAAAAGAGAGAGAGAAAACACCAUGCCUUGGACAGACACGCUGCCUGACUACUGCUGUGCUGCUACAGAUUCUGAGUAAAUUUGGAGAAAUCACACCAGAAUGAAAUAAAUAAAAGGAAAAGCAUGUGGCUACGUAACAUUACUACAUAUGGCAUUAGUGAUGACUUCGGCCCAGAAAAAAACCCCAGAGGUGACUGGACUCGGU